rnacentral:sRNA from 1 species
ACGAUCGAAAAUAUUUGUGCAAAGUAU